ensembl:snoRNA SNORD83A small nucleolar RNA, C/D box 83A
ACAGUUCGGUGAUGAAGCCAUGGAAUAAGCGCUGGGCACAGCGCCUGACAUCUGUGAGGAGUCAUUCCAUGCUGCCUUCCUUCUGAGAACAAC